AAAACCAUUAUCUAAGAAAGUUUAAAUUAGGAAAUAAAUAUCAUAUAUCUUAAAAAUUAAAUUUUCUAAGAAAACGGGUUAAUUAACCCAACCAAAUGGUAGGCGGGUCGCGGAUCGUCCAGGCACGAGGAGUUUCCCCUGGAAAAUCCGAACGAAUUUCACUGAUCGAGCAGCGAGCGACACUCUGCAAUCCAGCCUCAAAAUAUCCCAGUUGCUACUAGUUUUUUGAUCGGAGAAACAAAAUACAUAAAUAAGAACAGAAAUACAGAAUAUGAUAACUCGGUCUAAACUCGUUGAGCAACUCAGGGAUUACCAGAUCCGAUCGCAGCACAAGUGUCCUGCUCUAACUAUCUUCUCUCCCAAACCCCACAUCACUUCUUGGGUUGAUGUUGCUGUGGCAAUCUGCUGGGCAUUCGUGUUUAGCAUGCUUGUCAUAUCAUCUUUUGUGACCCUCUAUUUCAGGCACUUUUGGCUUUCUUUUCUCAUAAUCUGCCUUGGGAUUUUUCUUCCCAUACGCUUGCGAAGUUCUAGGCAGGUACUGACCCGGAAGAGGGAGAGAAGAUUGUUAUUACCUUUGUCAAUGUGAAUUUGCCAUGGCAGUAAAGUUUUUCAAGCAUGUAGACCAGUGAUGAUUUUUUUAACUUGCAUUUGAGUGCUGUGACAUAUUAUAGAGCAAUUCCAAAGCAUGGAGCACUCCUUUUGGUCAACCAUGAGAGUUCCCUAGUCUCUACACUCUGAGAUAAAUGGGAUAAGGCUCCAUGUGUUGAAUUGGAUGUGAAGAUCAAGGACAGUGGAUGUUGGCAUUAAAAAAAAAGGCAAAGGGCUCAAUACGCUGGGCAACUAUACUAUGCUUCUUUAAUUAUUCUUAUUAAUCGAUAAGACAGGGCAAUGGUAAAAUUGCUGUUGGGUAACACAUGUUCAAAGGGCCAAUCAAUCAAUAGUCUGCCAAUAAUUGUGAAAUUUAAGUAUUUGUUUAAGGUCACAUUAGCCAACUGCAAUCAUGAAACCUUCAGUUUUUGUGCCAAGGUUUACAGAUUAGGCAUUUCAAGCAAAUUUUAUAUAUAAUUAUUGGUGGUUAAGUGAAAGUUCUGCCCUGAUGCGCAAUCAAAGAAAUAGAUUCAUUAAUUCUAUUCUUUUGAACUC